UACGUAGGGUGCGAGCGUUGUCCGGAUUUAUUGGGCGUAAAGAGCUCGUAGGCGGUUUGUCGCGUCGGCCGUGAAAUCUCCACGCUUAACGUGGAGCGUGCGGUCGAUACGGGCAGACUUGAGUUCGGUAGGGGAGGCUGGAAUUCCUGGUGUAGCGGUGAAAUGCGCAGAUAUCAGGAGGAACACCGGUGGCGAAGGCGGGUCUCUGGGCCGAUACUGAUGCUGAGGAGCGAAAGCGUGGGGAGCGAACAGG
rnacentral:rRNA from 1 species